UGUGAACUCGAAGAGUAGGGCGGGACACGUGGUAUCCUGUCUGAAUAUGGGGGGACCAUCCUCCAAGGCUAAAUACUCCUGACUGACCGAUAGUGAACCAGUACCGUGAGGGAAAGGCGAAAAGAACCCCGGCGAGGGGAGUGAAAAAGAACCUGAAACCGUGUACGUACAAGCAGUGGGAGCCUCUUUAUGGGGUGACUGCGUACCUUUUGUAUAAUGGGUCAGCGACUUAUAUUCUGUAGCAAGGUUAACCGUAUAGGGGAGCCGAAGGGAAACCGAGUCUUAACUGGGCGUUAAGUUGCAGGGUAUAGACCCGAAACCCGGUGAUCUAGCCAUGGGCAGGUUGAAGGUUGGGUAACACUAACUGGAGGACCGAACCGACUAAUGUUGAAAAAUUAGCGGAUGACCUGUGGCUGGGGGUGAAAGGCCAAUCAAACCGGGAGAUAGCUGGUUCUCCCCGAAAGCUAUUUAGGUAGCGCCUCGUGAACUCAUCUUCGGGGGUAGAGCACUGUUUCGGCUAGGGGGCCAUCCCGGCUUACCAACCCGAUGCAAACUACGAAUACCGAAGAAUGUUAUCACGGGAGACACACGGCGGGUGCUAACGUCCGUCGUGAAGAGGGAAACAACCCAGACCGCCAGCUAAGGUCCCAAAGUCAUGGUUAAGUGGGAAACGAUGUGGGAAGGCACAGACAGCCAGGAUGUUGGCUUAGAAGCAGCCAUCAUUUAAAGAAAGCGUAAUAGCUCACUGGUCGAGUCGGCCUGCGCGGAAGAUGUAACGGGGCUAAACCAUGCACCGAAGCUGCGGCAGCGACACUAUGUGUUGUUGGGUAGGGGAGCGUUCUGUAAGCCGUUGAAGGUGUGCUGUGAGGCAUGCUGGAGGUAUCAGAAGUGCGAAUGCUGACAUAAGUAACGAUAAAGCGGGUGAAAAGCCCGCUCGCCGGAAGACCAAGGGUUCCUGUCCAACGUUAAUCGGGGCAGGGUGAGUCGACCCCUAAGGCGAGGCCGAAAGGCGUAGUCGAUGGGAAACAGGUUAAUAUUCCUGUACUUGGUGUUACUGCGAAGGGGGGACGGAGAAGGCUAUGUCAGCCGGGCGACGGUUGUCCCGGUUUAAGCAUGUAGGCGGAGGUUCCAGGUAAAUCCGGUACCUUUUAACGCUGAGGUGUGAUGACGAGGCACUACGGUGCUGAAGUGAUAAAUGCCCUGCUUCCAGGAAAAGCCUCUAAGCAUCAGGUAACACGAAAUCGUACCCCAAACCGACACAGGUGGUCAGGUAGAGAAUACCAAGGCGCUUGAGAGAACUCGGGUGAAGGAACUAGGCAAAAUGGUGCCGUAACUUCGGGAGAAGGCACGCUGAUAUGUAGGUGAAGCCCCUGCGGGCGGAGCUGAAAUCAGUCGAAGAUACCAGCUGGCUGCAACUGUUUAUUAAAAACACAGCACUGUGCAAACACGAAAGUGGACGUAUACGGUGUGACGCCUGCCCGGUGCCGGAAGGUUAAUUGAUGGGGUUAGCGGCAACGCGAAGCUCUUGAUCGAAGCCCCGGUAAACGGCGGCCGUAACUAUAACGGUCCUAAGGUAGCGAAAUUCCUUGUCGGGUAAGUUCCGACCUGCACGAAUGGCGUAAUGAUGGCCAGGCUGUCUCCACCCGAGACUCAGUGAAAUUGAACUCGCUGUGAAGAUGCAGUGUACCCGCGGCAAGACGGAAAGACCCCGUGAACCUUUACUAUAGCUUGACACUGAACACUGGUCCUUGAUGUGUAGGAUAGGUGGGAGGCUUUGAAGCGUGGACGCCAGUCUGCGUGGAGCC
rnacentral:rRNA from 1 species